UACAGAGGGUGCGAGCGUUAAUCGGAAUUACUGGGCGUAAAGCGCACGUAGGCGGCUUUGCAAGUCGGUUGUGAAAUCCCCGGGCUCAACCCGGGAACUGCAUUCGAGACUGCAUUGCUGGAGUAUGGGAGAGGGAAGCGGAAUUUCCGGUGUAGCGGUGAAAUGCGUAGAUAUCGGAAGGAACAUCAGUGGCGAAAGCGGCUUCCUGGACCAAUACUGACGCUCAUGUGCGAAAGCGUGGGGAGCAAACAGG
rnacentral:rRNA from 1 species